rnacentral:rRNA from 1 species
GACGAACGCUGGCGGCGUGCUUAACACAUGCAAGUCGAACGGAAAGGCCCUGCGUUUGUGGGGUGCUCGAGUGGCGAACGGGUGAGUAACACGUGAGUAACCUGCCCUUGACUUUGGGAUAACUUCAGGAAACUGGGGCUAAUACCGGAUAGGAGCUCCUGCUGCACGGUGGGGGAUGGAAAGUGUCGGCGGUUGGGGAUGGACUCGCGGCGUAUUAGCUUGUUGGUAAGGUAGUGGAUUACCAAGGGUAUGACGGGUAGGCGGCCUGAGAGGGUGAGCGGCCGCCCUGGAAGUGGGACCCGGUCCAGAGGCCUAGGGGAGGCGCCAGGAGGGAAUCGUCCGCAAUGGGCGAAAGCCUUACGGAGCAAGGCCGCGUGAGUGAGGAAGAUCUUCGGAUCGGGAAACUCUGUUAUUAGGGAAGAACAAAUGUGUAAGUAACUAUGCACGUCUUGACGGUAACUAAUCAGAAAGCCACGGCUAACUACGUG